GGAGGAAAAAAAAACUUUAUUAAUUUCUUUGUAUAAAGAGUAACAAAGUGCUUACAGAUUUAAGUCGGGCUCAUACGUGACAUACAGAAAAAAACAGGUAAUACUGUAAAAAUAAAUCUGACCUGGUUGCUGCUCAUAAUUACAAUUUUAUAUAUAUAUAUAUAUAUAGAUAGAUAAAGACAUCUUUCUCUGUUAUUGCCAGAACUAUUUCCUCAAAGCACUUCCAAAAUCGAGGUUUUGCCCAAGUUCUAGGACGCGGGUCAGCAAUAGGUUUCCAGUUAAACUACUGUUCAUCAAAGACUGACAGAUGUACAAAACGAGACUACACUCCUUCACUUGACUCAAUUACAGUUUAAAUGCUGGAUCUGGUCCUGACAGUAACACUUCCCUGGUCCCAGUCUGCCCCAGCUGGGCUCCGGCACUCCUGGUCAACCAAAUACUUCACAAGCACAUGGCUGGAGACUUAAGUCAAAUUAAACAAAGGCCAGUGAUAGUAUUUAAAGCAUAAUCACCUUGCAUCAAGGGAGCAGCUUUACAGAAAAACUGCUAAAAUGAAUUAACAUGCUGGCCAAAACUGGCAAAAAAAAAAAAAUAGAGUACGGUGUGCACUCCUCUGGUGGCACUGCUGAUAACAAGACACCUUUUUUUUUUUGGUUGAGGUGUUCUUUCCCUCUCCUAGGGACAGUUUUCCUGUUGUUCAGUCCUCCCCUUUACAAUUUACAAAAUUAUUCUUUGCUAGGGGAGUGUCUCCCCCCCUCCCCAUCUGUACAUGGCUUAAUUUUCUUUUCUAUCCCCAAAGAAGUUAUAUGUUUUCCUGCGUACAUUUCCCCACACCGUGCACUGUGGCUCACUUGCAACACAAGCUGAAGAUCAACAUGUUUGUUUGCAUGUUUAAUAGCUACAUAACUGGUGGAAGCUUCAGGGGGUAGAAAUGUGUAAUGUGGGGCAGAUGGGUUAGGAAAAGUAAAUGCAUUUAUCCAGAGAUGGGGUUUCUCAAUGAAACACAUGCUGAUGCAUACUUUUUUUUUUUUUUCCCUUUUUGAAGCAUGAUGGUGAAGCAAUUUUUUUUUAAAAUAUGAUUGAGAGCGCAGAACCGCAAAUGGCUUAAGCAGAGUUAUGAUACUGUUUUCUCUGAAUUUUUGCGCCCAAGUUGUUUUUUUUUGUUACUGAAAUGUAAGCGCAUCUCAGCCAAAAUUUUCUAAAAGCUUCCUCAAAAACGCCAUAAAAAUUAGGAGUUCUCUUAUGUCCACUAGGUUCACGGAAUAAAUGUGAACCACAGACUUGCUUUAAAUGCUACAGUUGCACUGAGAUCCAUGCACUGAGAACUGUAGCAUUUUUUUUGACACUGCUCUUUCAGCUCACGUUUAUCUGGACAGUUCAAAUUGGAGCAAGACCAUAAUCAAAUAAAGGUGAAACUGUGUUGCAGUAACCGGCGUAAAAGGAGUUGAAGCUAUUGUUUCUGCCAUACCUUUUAAAUCAAUUUGAUCCAACUGUUGACUAAAUAAAAAAAGGAAACCUGUUGGAAAAAUAAUCCUUUGAACACAUUAGCACAGUCAGAAUACAAAUUACAGUAGUUAAAAAAUGAAAGGUCUGGGCAUUUAUAUUUUGACACACAUUUAAAGCA